UUGUGUCUUCCUCUGCUCCGCCAUAGUGAGAAGCGCCUGCUUCCCCUUCACCUUCCGCCAUGAUUGUAAGCUUCCCGAGACCUCCCAGCCAUGCUUCCUGUACAGCCUGCAGAACUACACCGUCAGAGAUGGAUUGGGGACACUCCUGCGGGAAGGUGCUGAUGGGGGGAGCUGCGACAACCGGCCCCACACCAGAAAAAGCCGGGGGCCGCUGAGCCCAGGCCACCAACAGGAGCUGUGGACCCAGCCUGACCCCUGGACCGAGGUGCUUUCAGGGCACAAGGGGGAUGCGGGAGCCUGUGGCUGCUGUCGCUUCUGCCCUCAGUUCAUAAACACACGCUGUGCACAUCCCCUGUGCUUGGCAAGGGGCCUGGAUGGAAGGGCCAGUGAGGAGACGCCCAUCCUCCAGGCACUGUGCCUCCUCCCAAAGGAAAAUCUCCAUGAUGCCAGCAGGCGUGUCCACAGAGGAAGGGGUGAAGAAAAUGGCGAAUGGACAGGCGACAAUGGUGAAUGGACAGGCGACAGGCAUCCCACCUAGCUCGGAAGAGGAGGACAUCCUGAGAUUUGCCACAACCUAGAGGCGAUUGAGCUCGUGACAAAAGCCAGACACAGAAAGACAAAUACCACGUUCUCAUUUGUGCAUGGGAGCUAAAGUAGUUAAGUUCAUAGAGGCAGAGGGUGGGGAAGGGGCUGGGUGGGGGGAACUGGGGAGAGGUUGGUCGAACGGCACAAAGGCUCACUUAGGAGGUGACAAGCUCUGGACAGCAGGGUGGCUGUGGUGAACAAGAACGUGUUGGGUACAUGGAUUUGCUGUGACCUGACCUCAAGUGCUCUUGCCAUGGAACCCAGGUGCUCCCUGCUAGAAAGCCACACACGGCAGAGGAGAGCUGGCGAGAGGAAAAGCAGGUUCGACUCAGCGGCCUUUGGAGACGGCAGACUGAGAUUGUCACAGAGACCAUCUCAAGUGAGCACGAAUUCCAGGCUCUUUUAUAUUAAGGGCAGGGGGACAGGGAGGGGUUUGGGAUCAAGAGGUGACAGGUGACCGCAAACAUCUGGGUGCCAGCGAGGGUCCGAGGAGGCUGGGGAUGCCUUCAUUGUUGGUCGGGUCAUGGAGCUCCUGUGAAUCCACAACAGAACAGCUGUUCACAGGCUUCCCCUUUCAUCCGGGAGUGAGUUUCAAAACCUGCACUACGACUACCUCUGUGUAUUUUCUCCGGCCUCUAGUAUGAUCCUAGGCUCCGUGCAGGAAUGGGUGAAGGCCUCUUACACAAAAACAAAGUCAGGUCCUGAGUUCUUUUGCUGUUUGUUUGCUUUCUCCUGCACACUCGAAAAGGUGACUGGCGGAGGUGAGGCCGCGCUAAUUAGCUGGAUUGUGGUGACCCUUCCACAAAGCACGUGUAUGCCGGCAUAUUCACUGGGUCAUGCACCUCGAAUACAUAUUUUUACUUGUCAGUUACAUCAUAAUAAAGGAAAAGAA